CCAAAUAGCUCCGGGAGUCUAAGGUAUUUGCCCACUCCACCCUCUUUUAUGUGAACCGAGCACACUAUCUUUCAAAUUCAAAAAAAAAUCAUCUAAGUUAAAAGUACAUAUUUUAGGUACAAACAAUGAAGAAUUUAUUUUUUUCCUUCAAAAUUUAAAUAUUUGAACCGGACCCGAAAUAACCGAAACCGGUCUUAAAAUACUCUUAAUCCAACCUGAAAU
rnacentral:lncRNA from 1 species